AUGGACUCUUCUCCAGGCUUCGUAACAGUGAUAUUCUUCAUACUUGCAAGGACCAAUGGAGACUCGGUGACACAAACAGAAGGCCAAGUGACACUCUCUGAAGGGUCGUCUCUGACUGUGAACUGCUCCUAUGAAACCAAACAGUACCCAGCCCUACUCUGGUACGUGCAGUAUCCUGGAGAAGGUCCACAGCUCCUCUUCAGAGUCUCAAAGGCCGAUGAGACGGGAAGCAGCAGAGGUUUUGAAGCUACAUAUGAUAGAGGAUCCACUUCCUUCCACUUGAAGAAAGAAUCAGUCCAGGAGUCAGACUAG